CUUUUACUGAUUUGUCGGAGGUCUUCAACAGGGUUGUUUUUUUUGUUUGUAUUUUGCUAACCAAAGAUGAGCUUGUAAUCACCAUGCAUGGAUGCACUGCUUCUAUGUGUGAUAAAGUGAAGCAGUCAGCAGAAGGUGCAAUUCAGGCUAUCAUUGAGUUCAUUACAAGUAGAGGUAAUGAGUUGAAUGAAACUGAUGUUUCAAGGUAGGACUUGAGGGGAGUGCCAAUGGACAAUAGUGGUUGGAUGCCAUCAGGAAGGCCCUUAAAUAAGGAACAAUAUUUGAACGUGUAGGAUCUAGGCAGUUGGCUGGUUUGCUUGUAUCCCUAGGGUAAGUAAUUAUUCAUUGAUUGGGACAUCAGAAGAUGAUAAUUUCCUUUUCAACAUCUACAUUUGACGAACGCCUCAUAUUUGACAAUCCUUUACCAGGGCUAAAAAGAAUCUUCGACCAUUUAUUAGGGAUGUUGAUGCUGCUGCAGUACCAUAGCUUCAUGCACACACAAGACAGGAUUUUAAUCAAUUGCGCCUAAAUUUAGGCUUACAUGGACUUCAACCUUUUAACACCACUCAUGCUAGGAGUGGACCAGAUGGAGGAUUUUUUUAUUUAUUUUUUUUUUUUUUAAUUUAAGACCAUUUUCAACUUGUUGUAAAUAUUAUAUUUUAUUAUUGCGAAGUAAUAUAUUUUUUGUUUAAUAUUCAAUUUUAAUUGUAUUGCAACAUUUUUUAUGUUUCAAAUAUUUUAAAAAAUAGAGGU